rnacentral:tRNA from 1 species
GCACCCGUAGCUCAAUUGGAUAGAGCGCUGCCCUCCGGAGGCAGAGGUUGGAGGUUCGAAUCCUCUCGGGUGUA